AUCGGGAUCACCUGAAUGGUUCCCCGCUCUCUAGGAAGCAGCCAGAGAGAGGCAUUUAACAUCCAAAUGCACGCCUAUAAUCCCAGAACUCAGGAGACUGACAAGGAUAGACCACGGAUUGUUCAAGGCUAACCUAGACAACACAGUAAGCCCUCUAAAGUUUAGAGUCUAAAGCAACCGAUCCCCAGCACGAACUCCCUUUAGGGACUAACCACUUACCACAGAAACAGAACCAAGCACCCCUUUCGGAUCUACGAGGCCCUCAACCCCUCACCCCCGCGCCCGACACCCACACACCCACACAUCACACCCACACACCCCAGCGCAUUGCCCAGACACAUGCCGCCCAUGUCUCAGUAACCUGAUUCACGAUGGGCCAGGGACUGCGUUUGGAAAGUGGUGUCAGGGGAGCCUCCCGCAGACAGUGAGAAUCCAGGAGACCAGCAAUGACCGGGCAGGGUGAAAGGAAGGCGACUAUCCAGCACAGAACCAGUGCUCGCUCCGCGCCAGGCCGCUGGGACCAGUGACGCCGGAAGACCGGGUGAGCUCCCUGCCACCCCGCGCACUUACGCGCUCGCAGCCGCCACGUCUCUCACCUGCCGCUUGUCCGACAGCACGGCCUCGGCCAACUCCUCUACUUCGACCAGUUCCAGGCUGCUGCUUUGUGAUCCCUGCUCCACUUUGGCUGCCAAGUCUUCUUGCUAAAUCCUGACCUAGCCACCUAACUCCUCAGCUGACAUUCUGCAGCAGGUGCCCCCGUUGUCACCUUCUGGCCCUUCAGGGUCCAAUCCAUCGGAAAUCGCCAGUUUUAUCGUUCUGCACCCCCACCCCCUCUUCCGGACAUCCUAGAAAAUGUGGCCUCCAGUGGUGAUGGGAGUAGCUGUUUGCACUUGCUCUUUCCUUCCCAAGGGGUUCCCUCCCAUCCCUUUCCUCUGCCUUGCCUAAUCAGGCUAGUGGCCAGAUGAACGCGGUUCCUAAAAGAAAGGUGAUCGAGAGACCGAGAGACCGCAACUCAGAGAACCGCAGUUUCUCAGCUUGAAAAAGACAAUGAGAAAAGAGAUCUCUCAAGAUCAAAGGAGGGGAUGAAACAAUAAGUGAACACGGGGGAACUAGGAAGUGGCGUUGGAAGGAGUGACUGCUAACGG
rnacentral:lncRNA from 1 species